UUAUGCAAACUUUGUUGAAGUUCAAAUGUUUAUUGUUGGCUAUGUUGUGUUUGUUGUCUUUGCACUAGUUCUUAGAUUAUGAACCACGUUUAUCAUUUAUGCUAAAGGAAAGGAAUCCAAAAUUUGAAACAUCACGUUGAAGGAAAUUAAAGGAAAGGAAUCCAAAGUUUGAAACAUAAUCUUGAAGGAAACUAAAGGAAAGGAAUCCAAAGUGCUUUGAUGUUGCCAUAUACCAACCCCACUACACUAAUAAACAUGAUGUCUGCCAAACAUAAACAUAAGUAGCUGGAAAGCAAAUAAGUAGUCCUACUCCACAGCCUUCACGUGCCAUUAUUCUCUUCAAUAAAAAACCAAGCACAGAUUAUAAUAUGUAAUGCUUAAGUUAGUAUAAAUAGGGAGAGAGAUUUGUUAUUCUUGCAUCCUAUCAUUUGAUUUUACAAACUCUUUGCUUGCUUGUUCAUUUUCUGCCACCUAGAGUCAUCUUUUUCUUUGUAAACAGAUAAGAUAAUCAAUCUGCCUGUUUAUCUAUGCUUAUAUAACCCGCGUAUUGGUUAAAAUUCACUUUUGGCUGCUCAGACAAGAUAAUCAGACUACCUAAUCAGCCACAAGUGGAUUUUACCGGUAUUCUAGUUAUGUAAGUAUAGAUGAAAGGCAAGGAAGACAAUUUUUUUAUUAUUUCGCAGAGGUGGAAGAGCAAAUGGAGGGUUAAUUAAUGAUAAGUGCAUUGUUAUCACAUUAUUUACUGUAUUUUGCUAAUAUCUAUAUGUGGUUUGAAGGCACCGCAUGAGUUUUCCUAACCACAAGAAGGGUUGAACAAUAGAGUAUGCGGCAUACUCACAUUUGUAGCGGUCAAGGGAGCUGGUCACUCUGUUUCCUACCCAGCAAAUAAACAAAGAAAGCAUCAUAGAAAUCUUAAUUUAGCCAUUGUAAAUGCGUGGUUAUUAUUUACUUGUUUAAAUACAAUCUCGUCAAAAUUGUGUUCGUUUCUUAGUGGUUGGCUUUUGCGCAACAAUUCAAAGUAAAAAAAGAAAAAAUUAGUUUAACAAUUAUAAAGUAGUAUUAAUUAUUAAUGAUUCAUCAAGCCACAUGUAACAAUUAAAAAGUCAUGUCAGUUGAAAACAUUUGGAUAGUAUGAAAAGGAGUAGCAUAUUGAAUUGGGUGGUAUAUGGCUCAGUCGGUGGUUAUUGACACGUAUUGAAUUUCGUGGCUAUUGCUUACAACAUAUCGUCAUCAGUAAUGUAAUGAAUGUGAUGGAGUAUUUUACCAAAAUAUUAUCCACAAAUCUAAUCAUAUUUGCAAAAUUUAAUACGUGUAGUUUUAAUCAAGUAGAGCAGUGUGUGAACCUUUCAUUUUAUUGAUUACAUUAAUUCAAUGAGAUAGAUAUCGUUACGGAUUUGGAUUUGUCAUGCUACAUUUUCUGCUUUGAUCUAAUGGUUAGGAUUUAAGAGUUUAGAUUCUAAUUUUGCUUCCUAACAAUUAGUACUUUCAUUCUUAAACAUCAACACCUCCUAUGGCAUACUCAUUUCCCUCAUCUUUUACUACUCCGUUUUAUCCUUAUCAUUCCAACACCACCUCUAUCACAAUCUCAUUUUUAUCUUUUCUAUGAGAAAAUUUUCCAUCUUAUUCAACCGACAUUUCUCUUAUAACUCCAUAGAUAUACUCCACACGUGCAACCUUCGUAUACCAUUGCAACGAUGUCAAACUCGUCGGAUUCAUACUCUCACCAAUUUCCCCUCAAAAACAAUUCAACACUCCAAUCCAUUCACAAUUAAUUAUCACCGACAAGCUAUAAUAUUUUCUCCAUAUUCACAAUCAUGCAGUACCACCAUAGCAUCUCAUUCACACACAGAGACACCUAUUCCACGUACAAACAAAAGAUUUGCAACAAUUUUUUUCUGAAACAUCCCAAGAUACAAAGAUGUUCAUCUCUAUUUUUGAUGGCAAAAUUUAGUAGUAAGUUUUUUAAAUCAUCCUUUAUUAAUUUUUUUUUGGAAGCCAAAGAAAGUUCCAUUAAAAUAAGACACAAGCACAAGUUAUGCCUGUAAUGUACAUCACAUUUCCACAAGAUAUUACAUAUUCCACUCACUAUUAAUAUUA